GAUGGCGGCAGCGGCUUGUCCCUGCCGGGACCCCACCCAACGCCGGGUCUCCCAGCCCAAGCCUGCCGGGACGCAGCGUCUUUGGGUGGCGGCGGGAGUGGCGGGCCCGGAAGCAUGGCGGUCACCCAAACGCCAGGCGAUGGAAGCCGUUAGGGCGUGGCGGAACCGGAAGGCGGCCUAGGGACGCACGCAGGCUCGGCUGUCUCUUUAGGCCACGGAGCCGCGUAGAUCCGGAACCCCGGGCGACUAAUCUGUCCCCAUUUGGCGAGACCUACCUAGACAAAGGCCUUAACGUACCGACAAAGGCCUUAGGGGGCCUGGGAGGAAGUCGUACAAAAUAAAUGUCUUCUGGAGAUGACUUUUGGAAAUGGAGUUAUUAGACAGCCUCUGGAAGCGAUACAUCCAUGUUUGUUCAGUGGGUUAGAUGACAUGGAGCUGGAAGACCUGAGAAGGAAGAGAAGAAGGUUCUAUGACAGACUGGUCAUAUUUAGAAGACACUUUCAUAUUCUAUCCAUAGUUUUGUAUGCAUUUUAUUCCUCACUACUGUAUAUAUAGUUGACAAUGCUAAGCUUUUUUGAAAUGUCUGUUUUUUUAGAUGUUCUGAAGUGCCUGAUAUAUGUUAAAAUUAAAGGUAAUAAAAACACAUUUUGUAAGUA